UGUAAGAAAUAUUCUCCCUUGAACGUGCCUGAUCUCAUCUGAUCUCAGAAGCUAAGCAGGGUUGGGCCUGGUUAGUAGUACUUAGAUGGGAGACUGCCUGGGAAUACCAGGUGCUGUAG
rnacentral:rRNA from 1 species